rnacentral:rRNA from 1 species
GAUGAACGCUGGCGGCGUGCUUAAUACAUGCAAGUCGAGCGAACGGACGAGAAGCUUGCUUCUCUGUCGUUAGCGGCGGACGGGUGAGUAACACGUGGAUACCCUACCUAUAAGACUGGGAUCUCUUCGGGAAACCGGAGAUAACACCGGAUAAUCUUUUGAACCGCAUGGUUCAAAAGUGAAUGACGGUCUUGCUGUCACUUAUAGAUGGUUCCGCGCUGCAUUAGCUAGUUGGUAAGGUAACGGCUUACCAAGGCAACGAUGCAUAGCCGACCUGAGAGGGUGAUCGGCCACACUGGAACUGAGACACGGUCCAGACUCCUACGGGAGGCAGCAGUAGGGAAUCUUCCGCAAUGGGCGAAAGCCUGACGGAGCAACGCCGCGUGAGUGAUGAAGGUCUUCGGAUCGUAAAACUCUGUUAUUAGGGAAGAACAUAUGUGUAAGUAACUGUGCACAUCUUGACGGUACCUAAUCAGAAAGCCACGGCUAACUACGUG